UGUGGGGUUUUUCAGGUGCGAAAGGAUAACCAAGGGUUCAGUUUUAGUUUGUGUAGUUGGAGCAAAGUUCCAUGGUUUGGUUUAGCUAGAGAAUUUUUACGGUACCCUGGCACUCCAUUGUAUAGAAAGGAGUACCAAACAAAUCCAACCGUUCAUAUGGGAGGGAUAUGUUAGACUUUUUAGUUGUCUUUUUUUUUUCAAUCGUCCUAGCCUGGUGUUCCCUUCGCCCUCGCAGACACGCACUGCCGUCCGCAGUUCUAGUUUUCUCUCAAUCCUCGCCGGCAGGAAGAGUGUUUAUUAUUUCAACAGCUUAUUCAGCACAUGAAUUUUAAGAAGAAGGAAACAUGUAUUUACACAUUCCGUUUAAUUACCGCUUCGAGUGAGACGAGGUGCCAAAAUUCCCUAGUUUUGUCAAUUGAGGAACUAAAGUCUAUGAAAAAAAAAUUAAAAGCAACUUCUACUUGGUGCCAAUCGAGAGAUGAAAAAAAAUAUUUUUUCCCUUCUACAAAACACUGUAACAAAAUGUUGUUAUGGUUCUUUUACUCUUAUUAUAGAUAGGCCUGUGAAUGGUCCAUGAAUUGAGCCAUAGCUAAAGAGCUCUUUUACGAUACUCCGAAAUUACUAUGGACCGUCUAUUCGAUGUAAUCUAAUGGCUAAUACGGCAUGGUACUCCAUCAGAAAUUUUUAGGAGUACGUACUAAAAAUAGGUGGAGUACCUUAAUGUGAAGGGCAAAAUUGUGCCAGU
rnacentral:lncRNA from 1 species